CAAUAGCGUAUAUUAAAGCUGUUGCGGUUAAAAAGCUCGUAGUUGGAUUUCUGUCAAGUACAACUGGUCCGCCCUCCGGGUGAGCACAUAGUUUGGUCUUGGCAUCUUGCUGGAAAUUGUUGCUGCACUUGGCUGUGUGGCGCAGUGUCCAGCACUUUCAAUUUGAGGAAAUUGGAGUGUUUCAAGCAGGCAAUGCCUUUGAACACAGUAGCAUGGAAUAAUUAGAUUGGGCUUUUGCUCCAAUUUGUCGGUUUCUGGAGCUGAGGUGAGAAUUAAUGGGGAUUGUUGGGGGCAUCCGAAUUUAGCCGUCAGAGGUGAAAUUCUUGGAUCGGCUAAAGACGGACAACUGCGAAAGCGUUUGCCCAGGAUGUUUUCAUUGA
rnacentral:rRNA from 1 species